rnacentral:rRNA from 1 species
GAAUUCACUAGUGAUUUGGCUCAGACGAACGCUGGCGGCGUGCCUAAUACAUGCAAGUCGAGCGGACAGAUGGGAGCUUGCUCCCUGAUGUUAGCGGCGGACGGGUGAGUAACACGUGGGUAACCUGCCUGUAAGACUGGGAUAACUCCGGGAAACCGGGGCUAAUACCGGAUGGUUGUUUGAACCGCAUGGUUCAAACAUAAAAGGUGGCUUCGGCUACCACUUACAGAUGGACCCGCGGCGCAUUAGCUAGUUGGUGAGGUAACGGCUCACCAAGGCAACGAUGCGUAGCCGACCUGAGAGGGUGAUCGGCCACACUGGGACUGAGACACGGCCCAGACUCCUUACGGGAGGCAGUGGGAAUCGAAUUC